rnacentral:rRNA from 1 species
AGGACUAACGCUGGCGGCGUGCCUAACACAUGCAAGUCGAACGAAGUAGCAAUACUUAGUGGCAGACGGGUGAGUAACACGUAGUCAACCUGCCCUUCAAUGGGGGAUAACUAGCCGAAAGGUUAGCUAAUACCGCAUACGAUCUCUGAGUGGCAUCACUCGGCGAUGAAAGGAGUAAUCCGUUGAAGGAGGGGACUGCGUCCCAUUAGUUAGUUGGUAGGGUAAAGGCUUACCAAGGCGACGAUCGGUAGCUGGUCUGAGAGGAUGGUCAGCCACACUGUGACUGAGACACGGCCCAGACUCCUACGGGAGGCAGCAGUUAGGAAAUUUUGCCAAUGGGGGAAACCCUGAGCGAGUAACGCCGCGUGGAGGAAGAAGGCCUUCGGGUUGUAAACUUCUUUCUUUGGGACGAUGAUGACGGUACCAGAGGAAUAAGCCCGGCUAACUACGUGCCAGCAGCCGC